rnacentral:rRNA from 1 species
UGGGGGAGCUACCAUGCAGUCGAGCGGAAGGCCCUUCGGGGUACUCGAGCGGCGAACGGGUGAGUAACACGUGAGUAAUCUGCCCCAGGCUCUGGGAUAGCCACCGGAAACGGUGAUUAAUACCGGAUACGACAACCGAUUGCAUGAUCUGGUUGUGGAAAGUUUUUCGGCCUGGGAUGUGCUCGCGGCCUAUCAGCUUGUUGGUGAGGUAAUGGCUCACCAAGGCUUCGACGGGUAGCCGGCCUGAGAGGGUGACCGGCCACACUGGGACUGAGACACGGCCCAGACUCCUACGGGAGGCAGCAGUGGGGAAUAUUGGACAAUGGGCGGAAGCCUGAUCCAGCAACGCCGCGUGAGGGAUGACGGCCUUCGGGUUGUAAACCUCUUUCAGCACAGACGAAGCGAAAGUGACGGUAUGUGCAGAAGAAGGACCGGCCAACUACGUGCCAGCAGCCGCGGUAAUACGUAGGGUCCGAGCGUUGUCCGGAAUUAUUGGGCGUAAAGGGCUCGUAGGCGGUCUGUCGCGUCGGGAGUGAAAACCAGGUGCUUAACACCUGGCCUGCUUCCGAUACGGGCAGACUAGAGGUACUCAGGGGAGAAUGGAAUUCCUGGUGUAGCGGUGAAAUGCGCAGAUAUCAGGAGGAACACCGGUGGCGAAGGCGGUUCUCUGGGAGUAUCCUGACGCUGAGGAGCGAAAGUGUGGGGAGCGAACAGGAUUAGAUACCCUGGUAGUCCACACCGUAAACGUUGGGCGCUAGGUGUGGGACACAUUCCACGUGUUCCGUGCCGCAGCUAACGCAUUAAGCGCCCCGCCUGGGGAGUACGGCCGCAAG